rnacentral:rRNA from 1 species
GACGAACGCUGGCGGCGUGCUUAACACAUGCAAAUCGAGCGAGGCCCGCCUUUCGGGGUGGUGUCCUAGCGGCGAACGGGUGAGUAACACGUGGGCAACCUGCCCUCAGCUCUGGGAUAACUCCAAGAAAUUGGGGCUAAUACCGGAUAUGACCGCUGACCGCAUGGUCUGGUGGUGGAAAGAUUUAUCGGCUGGGGAUGGGCCCGCGGCCUAUCAGCUUGUUGGUGGGGAGUGGCCUACCAAGGCGACGACGGGUAGCCGGCCUGAGAGGGUGGACCGGCC